ACAGCAGCCGCCACGGGAAUACGUAGGUGGCAAGUGUUGUCCGGAAUUAUUGGGCGUAAAGGGCUCGCAGGCGGUUUCUUAAGUCUGAUGUGAAAGCCCCCGGCUCAACCGGGGAGGGUCAUUGGAAACUGGGAAACUUGAGUGCAGAAGAGGAGAGUGGAAUUCCACGUGUAGCGGUGAAAUGCGUAGAGAUGUGGAGGAACACCAGUGGCGAAGGCGACUCUCUGGUCUGUAACUGACGCUGAGGAGCGAAAGCGUGGGGAGCGAACAGGAUUAGAUACCCCAGUAGUCCCUGUCUCUUAUAC
rnacentral:rRNA from 1 species